UACGUAGGGGCCGAGCGUUGUCCGGAUUCAUUGGGCGUAAAGAGCGUGUAGGCGGCCAGGUAGGUCGGUUGUGAAAACUGGAGGCUCAACCUUCAGAGGUCGACCGAAACCAUCUGGCUAGAGUCCGGGAGAGGAGAGUGGAAUUCCUGGUGUAGCGGUGAAAUGCGCAGAUAUCAGGAAGAACACCCGUGGCGAAAGCGGCUCUCUGGAACGGUACUGACGCUGAGACGCGAAAGCGUGGGGAGCGAACAGG
rnacentral:rRNA from 1 species